UACGGGGGGUGCAAGCGUUGCUCGGAAUCACUGGGCGUAAAGCGUACGCAGGCGGCACGUUAAGUCGGGUGUGAAAGCCCGGGGCUCAACCCCGGAACUGCAUUCGAUACUGGCGCGCUUGAAUACGGAAGAGGGGAGCGGAAUUCCUGGUGUAGAGGUGAAAUUCGUAGAUAUCAGGAGGAACAUCAGUGGCGAAAGCGGCUCCCUGGUCCGAUAUUGACGCUCAUGUACGAAAGCGUGGGGAGCAAACAGG
rnacentral:rRNA from 1 species